CGAAUAAGAGGCAAUGCUAUCGACAUUUUCUUCCAAGAAACUCAUGUCAUUGUUAAUGGGGAAAUCCAACAGAAGUUGCAGUGUUGAGUCUGAAGAAUCUUCUAACGCAACAGAGCUUGACGAAUCAGACCCAGCAUUCACAUCUUCAGCUGACAGCUGAAAAUGAACCACAUUUGGUCGAUGAAGAUGCCUGAGAAGCUGAAGCAGGACUUUGGCAAGUAGUUUUGUCUCCCCGAUUGAACUUUCUAAAUGAUUCUCCAACUUCAGAGUUCCACAUCCGCAGAAAAUAAUCACUAUCAGUUUUUCCUGGAGUUGGUGGAUUGAAGAGUGAGGACUCCCUUGAAAGCCGAGCCUCAGCUUCAAGUCUAGCACUCUCCCACUGUGCCAUAUGGCGAGUAGCAGGGGAUGCAGGAGUUUUUAUGGCUGGUCCACAAGAGGGAAAGGGCUCAUGAGUUUGCGGGUCAAGUCCCAUGCAAAGAAGGCGUUUCUUCAGGUGGGUGUUCCACAAGUUCUUUACCUCAUUAUCUGUUCUGCCUGGUAGUUGAGAGGCAAUGGCAGCCCACCUGAAUAAUAUUGAAACAUCAAAAUUACAAAACACUCUUAUAUCACGUAUAAACAGUUGAAUCUCAUUUAAAUUAUCAAAAGCAAGAACAUUUGAUUGUUAAUUUAUUGCACCCAGAGGUUUGACAAACGGCAGAAACAUGAAUUAAAACAGAGCACCAAAACCAAUGCCGUUAAAAAAUCACUGUAACUGAUAAAAUUUCACUUGUGUUCUUGGAGGAAUAUUCAUUCAUUGGAUUAGAAAAGGGAUUGUGCAUUCCAAA